rnacentral:rRNA from 1 species
GUACACACCGCCCGUCGUUGCUACCGAUGGUGGCAGGAUAGAGCCAUCAGGAGGCCACGGAUCCCUCGUGGGUCCAAGUCAAAAUUGGGCAAUGUCCUGCCACUAGAGGAAGCAAAAGUCGUAACAAGGUUGUUGUAGGUGAACCUGCAG